rnacentral:tRNA from 1 species
CCUGAUAGCUCAGUUGGUAAAGAAUCUACCUGCAAUGCAGGAGACCCAGGUUCAAUUCCUGGGUCAGGA